GACGAACCGUGCGAACGUUGUUCGGAAUCACGUGGCUUAAAGGGCGCGCAGGCGGGCUAUCAAGUCCGGGGUGAAAUCCUCCAGCUCAACUGGAGAACGGCCUCGGAUACUGAUGGUCUCGAGGGGGAUAGGGGCACGCGGAACUGUGGGUGGAGCGGUGAAAUGCGUUGAUAUCCAUAGGAACUCCGGUGGCGAAAGCGGCGUGCUGGAUCCCUUCUGACGCUGAGGCGCGAAAGCCAGGGGAGCAAACGGG
rnacentral:rRNA from 1 species